rfam:Citrus sinensis cultivar Ridge Pineapple sweet orange scaffold06338_contig_1, whole genome shotgun sequence.
AUACCAUGAUGAGGACAUCUUCUGUGUAACUCCUUAAAUCUCUCUCAUGCAUCACACAAGCUCUCAUCUUCAAGUUGAUGGAAAAAUGUGAUCUCGUUCCUCAACUU